AGCAAAAAAACAAAAUUUAUGAACAAUUUGUUGACUCUGAAAUCUUCUUCUUCCUCUCCCAGCCGUGCUCUCCUCCUACCCAGCCGCGGCAUUCCCCCUAUCCGCCGUCGUCCCCUUCCUUCGCCGGUGCAAUCUCUUUUCGUUUUCGAUUUCCUCGCUGUCGCCUUCUAGCCACCUUGUAGUCGCCAUCGUCGUCGCUGUUCCCUGCCGCCUUUCAGUCACCGUCGUCUCCUCUCUCCCAGAAGUCUUGCAAUCGCCGACGUCGCCUCCCAGUCCUCUGCUAAGCCGCUCCUCGGCUUCUCAGUUCAGGACUUUCCUCAGUUUCGAGUUCGAUCAUGUCGAAGGACAAGGACUCUACCAAUUUGUCACGCACCUUCAAAUACCUCUUAGCUACUCAAUUCUUGUCAAGAGGAAUUCCAUUUAUAUUCAAUACAUGGAUUGUAAGGCAUCUUACACAAGAGGACUAUGCGCUAUAUGCAGUGCAGUUUCAUCUGUUUAUCACAUGUGUUUUAUUUCUUAGUCGGGAAGGCUUCCGGCGAGCAUGCUUGCGCAUGGAAAUGCAAAGUGAUGACAAUACAAAAGAUGUUGUGAAGCUAAUGAAAGUGGUGUGGAUGAGUUUCCCGCUUGGAAUAUUUAUUACAAUAGUGGCAUGCUCUUUUGUUCUAUGGUUGCAAGGCCUAAGUUAUUCUAGUUCACUUGGGCAAGCUGUCUUGAUAAAUGGUCUUGCAUGCAUUUUGGAGCUUUUAGCUGAGCCUUUGUAUAUUCUUUCACAGAACUUGGUCUUGCUUGAAUUAAGAUUGAUGGUUGAGACAGUAGCUACUAUUUCACGAUGCUUGACAAUGUACUUUCUACUUGUCAAGAAAUCUCAAAUGGAAAAACCAAUCAUAUUUGCAUUAUCACAAUCUGCGUAUGGAGCCUGCUUAUUUAUUGGUUACUGGGGUUAUCUCAUUCUAUUCAGCAAAUUCAAAUGUUCUUACCUUUUCCCAUUCAGAGAAGGAAAACUGAUUGACUUUGAUAAGCAGCUGUCCAAGAUGUGCAUGUUGUUUACCUUUCAAUCUUAUCAAAAGUUGAUUCUUCAGGAAGGAGAAAAAAUGGUGCUUGUGUGGUUGGAUACACCAUAUAAUCAAGCAGUGUAUGGUCUUGUGGACAAAUUAGGUAGCUUAGUGGUGAGACUAGUCUUUUUACCUUUUGAAGAAAGUUCAUAUGUAACCUUUGCAAGGUCUGCUUCAGGACAAUAUCCAGGGAAGAGCAAGAAAUUAGGAAACUGCUUGAUGGAGUCCCUCAAGUUAGUUUUGUUGAUUGGCCUUGUCUUUAUGGCAUUUGGUCCAAGUUAUUCUUAUUCGCUCAUUAGAUUGCUGUAUGGUGAAAAAUGGAGUGAUGGGGAAGCGUCAACUGCUCUCCGCUACUACUGCCUUUAUGUCAUUGUCUUGGCUAUCAAUGGAACAUCUGAAGCCUUCUUGCAUUCAGUUGCAACAGAGAGCCAACUAAAGCGUUCAAAUCAUUCAUUAGUUGUAUUCUCGGUGAUCUAUGUAGUUUUGAAUGUCCUGCUAAUAAGAAUAGCUGGGGCAGUUGGCUUAAUUAUGGCAAAUUCUCUCAAUAUGACCUUGAGGAUUUCAUACUCUGCUGUAUUCAUUAAAAAUUAUUUCAAGGAAUCUUCCUCAUUUUCAUUCUCGAGCUGCUUGCCUUCAGGAUGGACUUUUCUGUUAAUUUCAGGUGUAAUCACUCUCAUUUCUGAGAAUAUAUUUCUGGACCAAGAAAACUUCUGGCCAACAUUCAUGAUCCAUUUGUCUGUUGGGCUGGCUUGCUUCUGCAUUUCAUCUUAUGUGAUCUACCAACGGGAAAAACCGUUCAUCAAAAGGAUUAUUCGUUUUCGUGAUCACUCAGACUGAAGAUUUUUGCAAAUUUACCUGCAGAGGAAAGAGCAUGGAUUACCAGGUAGUUUUCUGUGGCAUGAUAUGUUCACCCAUGCCAAUAGAAGAAUGCUAACUAUUGAAUCUGAUUGAGCAGUUUGUAACAAAGAAAAUUAGUUGGUUUGUUGAGAUAAUAACCAAAAAGGAGGAGAAUGGAACCGCGGUGGAUCUAACUCGCUGACUAAAAUUUGUAAUACACAACACAACAAAUGUGGACGUGUAAGGCUACAAGAGAUUAUAAAUCGAGUUAACCUUCUGGCCAGAUUCAGGUCAGUUGAAAACUAACUAAAUGGGUGUGCUACUGUGCUCACAUUUUCUAAUCUGAUACGCUAAAAAUAUCAUCCCAUCCCGUUUUAUUUGUACGUAUCACACACUCCAAAUAAUGCGGAAUUGCUGAAAUUUUGAAGUAAAACAAAACUUGGGAAAUUCUCGAUUGUUUAUCCAAUAUACUUAGGGCUAAAAGCCUGUGGAAUGAUUAAAAAUUAAUAGAGUAUGGUGAGUAUAGGUGAAAAGUGAGAGAAAAUGAAUAACAUACAAGGGAAAAUGGCCAACUAAGACACCUGAAAGUAGUGAAGAUUGAUUGAGGUGUAUUUGAUAUCGCCGCUUUAUUUGAUGUUUGUGGGGAUAAAAUUUGCAGCAAUUAUACUAAUCAGAUGAAGGGGAAAAAACAAAU